CGAGGGUCCCACUGUCUCCCCCCUCCAAUCAGUGAAACUGAUCUCCCCGUGAAGAAGCGGGGAUAAGUAUAUUAGACGAGAAGACCCCAUGGAGCUUUAAACCCGACAGCACCCACUUAUUUAACACCUUCUUAUCCGCCUGGCCCCUGUCUGCUCGGUUUUGGGUUGGGGUGACCGCGGAGCAUAAAAUAGCCUCCNCGAAAGAAGGGAUGAUUCCCUCAUUUUAGAACUACACUUCCAAAGACUAACAAAUUAAUUUUAAGUGAUCCGAUACCCGUAUUCGAUCAACGAACCAAGUUACCCUGGGGAUAACAGCGCAGUGAUGUUUCUAAAUAGAAAUGUCGUGUCUGUAGAACACGAACGGCGAG
rnacentral:rRNA from 1 species